rnacentral:misc_RNA from 1 species
GAUGAAGAACGCAGUGAAAUGCGAUACGUAAUGUGAAUUGCAGAAUUCAGUGAAUCAUCGAGUCUUUGAACGCACAUUGCGCCCCCUGGUAUUCCGGGGGGCAUGUCUGUCCGAGCGUCAUUGCUGCCCUCAAGCACGGCUUGUGUGUUGGGCCUCCGUCCUCCUCCCGGGGGACGGGCCCGAAAGGCAGCGGCGGCACCGCGUCCGGUCCUCGAGCGUAUGGGGCUUCGUCACCCGCUCUUGUAGGCCCGGCCGGCGCUUGCCGACACAUCAAUCUUUUUUCCAGGUUGACCUCGGAUCAGGUAGGGAUACCCGCUGAACUUAAGCAUAUCAAUAAGCGGAGGA